CGGAAGUAGUUCAGUGGUAGAACAUCACCUUGCCAUGGUGGGGGUCGCGGGUUCGAAUCCCGUCUUCCG
rnacentral:tRNA from 64 species